AUGUUCUGAAAGUGUACUGUCAUUUGGGGCUCUGCCAUGCUUUCGUUUCGUUUAAAGACACCUUUAAUUACGUGCGUCUGCUUUCUGUUGUGUGCAGCAGACAAUGUCAAAGAAAGAUCUGAAAGGAAAGAUCAGCCAAACUGAGCGUGAAGAAAUGAACACAAGUCAUUGGCAACCUGAUUCAUCGAGAGCUCUGCAUAUUCACAGAUGCAACAUCACCAAGAGGCAGUCCCACUGAGUCCAUUCUGAGUGCUUGUUUCCCCUGAGUCUGCAACCGGACGUAAUGUCAAAGGCAACAAAGCAUGGAUGAGGUGAAGAAGCAAGAGGUGCCAACCGCCUAUUCACACAUUCUGAAGAUGUCCAAGAGCCACUCACCCCGCCCACCAGCUCAAAGUGACCGUCGUCAUUGGCAAUGAGCUGUCCGUUGAAGGCCCAAGAGAAAGAAACAUCGAGGACAGGAUCGCUGGCGACCUGACAAGGCAACACGAUGCUCUCACCCACGAUGAUUUCCAUGUCUGCUGGGCUCUGACUGAAUCUGGUUGGGUCUGGAAUAGAUAAAAAUAUUUUUUUUUACAUGCGCAUGGAGCAUUGAAACUCUUAGACCCUUUUAGUUGUGUCAUUCUAAAUUUUAUCUUAUGGCUCCAAAAAUACCUAAUAGUGAUUGAUUGAUAUUUUUAUUAGUAAAUUGCACAGUUCAGUAUAUAUUCCGUACAAGUGACCACUAAAUGGUAACACCCGGAUUAGUUUUUCAACUUGUUUAAGUCGGGGUCCACGUUAAUCAAUUCAUGGUAAUGAAUGGUAGUGCUAAUGUAAUAACAUGAAGGUCCAAGAUGACAUUAUUUUUCAACUAUUUUGAGUUUUUUUAGACAUUUUUAAGGUCCCACAAAUAGGGUCAAAGCACCAAAAUUCUGGGCCCCCAUACACAAGACUCCUAAGGCAGUGGUCCACAACCUUUUUUGCACCACGGACCAAGUUAAUGUAGGCAUUAUUUUCAGAGACCGGCUUUUCCAUACCAUACCAACUUCAUUUAUGAAGCCGUUUAAAAACAAUCACAGUUGAAGAACAAAGGGCUGUACACCACCAAGAAAUACAAGCAACAAAUAAAAAUAAGAUUUAAAACAGAGGUAAAACACACAAACACACACACAUUAUAGUGAGCUGUAUUUUUCAUGCACCUAUUUUUGCUGUAUUUAUCUGGUACAGGUGGAAAUGAGAGUUUGAACUGUUUUUAGCUUUUUAACUGCUUUUUAUCAAACAAAUUGCUCUUAAGAUAAUUUGUAUAUGUGUAUAAGUAUAUAUGUGUUUAUAUUAGGGCUGUGAAUCUUUGGGUGUCCCACGAUUCGAUUCAAUAUCGAUUCUUGGGGUCACGAUUCGAUAGUAUAUCAAAUUUUUGAUUCGAUUCUCGAUUCAAAAAUGAUAUUUUUCCGAUUCAAAACGAUUCUGUAUUCAUUCAAUACAUAGAAUUUCAGCAGGAUCUACCCCAGUCUGCUGACAUGCUAGCAGAGUAGUAGAUUAUUUUUUAAAAAGCUUUUAUAAUUAUAAAGGACAAUGCUUUAUCAACCAAUUGCAAUAAUGUAAAUUUGUUUUAACUAUUAAAUGAACCAAAAUAUGACUUAUUUUAUCUUCGUGAAAACAUUGGACACAGUGUGUUGUCAAGCUUAUGAGAUGCGAUGAAAGUGUAAGCCACUGUGACACUAUUGUUCUUUUUUAUU